rnacentral:rRNA from 1 species
AAGUCUGGCCUGCCCACUGAAGUUUAAAAUUUGAAGGGCCGCGGUAUUUUGACCGUGCAAAGGUAGCAUAAUCAUUAGUCUUUUAAUUGAAGGCUAGAAUGAAUGGUUGGACGAGGUAUUGACUGUCUCAGUGUUAUUGAAAUUAGAAUUUAACUUUUAAGUCAAAAGGCUUAAAUGGUUUUAGAGGACGAGAAGACCCUAUAGAGCUUGAUACCAUUAAAUUUAUAUUUGUUUAGUUUAAUUAUUAUUAUAGUUUUUGAGGUAUUUUGUUGGGGUGACAGGAAGAUAUAAUAAACUCUUUUUAUUUGUUUACAUUGAUUUAUGGUUAGUUGAUCCAUUAAUAAUGAUUAUAAGACUAAGUUACC